rnacentral:rRNA from 1 species
UGAGCAAUCUGCCCUUCACAUCGGAAUAACCAUUGGAAACGAUGGCUAAUACCGAAUAUGACUUCGGAUCGCAUGAUCUGAAGUGGAAAGCUCCGGCGGUGAAGGAUGAGCUCGCGGCCUAUCUGCUUGUUGGUGAGGUAAUAGCUCACCAAGGCGAUGACGGGUAGCCGGCCUGAGAGGGUGACCGGCCACACUGGGACUGAGACACGGCAGA